rnacentral:rRNA from 1 species
GUAGUCAUAUGCUUGUCUCAAAGAUUAAGCCAUGCAUGUCCAAGUAUAAACCCUUGUACGGUGAAACUGCGAACGGCUCAUUACACCAGCGACAAUUUACUUGACGAUGACUCGCCAUGGAUAACCGUGGUAAUUCUAGGGCUAAUACAUGCAGCAGCAUUUACUAGCAGCAGCCGGCGCGGCGGAGAAGCAAGUCGUCUCCGCCAGCAGCGGUGAGUCAUGGUAACUGGGCGGAUCGCGGCAAGCACGCGACGCGUCAAGCAAGUCUCUGCCCUAUCAACUGGGAUGGCAGGAUAGGGGCCUGCCAUGGUUUCGACGGGUAACGGGGAAUUGGGGUUCGAUUCCGGAGAGGGAGCCUGAGAGACGGCUACCACUUCCAAGGAAGGCAGCAGGCGCGCAAAUUACCCAAUCCCGACACGGGGAGGUAGUGACAGAAGAUAACAAUGCAGGGCCUGUGGCCGUGCAAUUGGAAUGAGCGAGGGGUAAAGAGGUUAGCGAGUAGCAAUUGGAGGGCAAGUCUGGUGCCAGCAGCC